GUGCUUGCUUCAGCAGCACAUAUAAUAAAAUUGGAAUGAUACAGAGAAGAUUAGCAUGGCCCCUGCACAAGGAUGACACACAAUUUGUGGAAAAAAAAGAAAAGAAA